AGUGAACGCUGGCGGUAGGCCUAACACAUGCAAGUCGAACGGCAGCACAGUAAGAGCUUGCUCUUACGGGUGGCGAGUGGCGGACGGGUGAGGAAUACAUCGGAAUCUACUUUUUCGUGGGGGAUAACGUAGGGAAACUUACGCUAAUACCGCAUACGACCUACGGGUGAAAGCAGGGGAUCUUCGGACCUUGCGCGAUUGAAUGAGCCGAUGUCGGAUUAGCUAGUUGGCGGGGUAAAGGCCCACCAAGGCGACGAUCCGUAGCUGGUCUGAGAGGAUGGUCAGCCACACUGGAACUGAGACACGGUCCAGACUCCUACGGGAGGCAGCAGUGGGGAAUAUUGGACAAUGGGCGCAAGCCUGAUCCAGCCAUACCGCGUGGGUGAAGAAGGCCUUCGGGUUGUAAAGCCCUUUUGUUGGGAAAGAAAAGCAGCAGGCUAAUACCCCGCUGUUCUGACGGUACCCAAAGAAUAAGCACCGGCUAACUUCGUG
rnacentral:rRNA from 1 species